CCUCUGUAGUCCAAGAGAUGCCCUUGGUUGUUAGUACUCUGGGCAUACCAGGCUUGCAGAGAGAGCACCUGUGUGAGGAAGCCGAGGCAUGCCUGUUAAGAGUCACAGCAGCAACAUGCGCAAUAUUCCUCUAACAGUUAUAAUUCUGUUGCCACGGAGAUAAUGACUUAUCCCAUGUCAUUAUUGAUCUAUCAACAGUAAGAGCAAUUUUGCAGUCUGAUAUUGUUUAGCAAAUAGAGUAACAUCUGCUGAACACUGAAAAACUGCUAUAAAU
rfam:Pygoscelis adeliae contig56319, whole genome shotgun sequence.